UACCUACGGGGGGCAGUAGUGGGGAAUAUUGCACAAUGGGGGAAACCCUGAUGCAGCGACGCCGCGUGAGUGAAGAAGUAUUUCGGUAUGUAAAGCUCUAUCCGCAGGGAAGAAAAAAGACGGUACCUGACUAAGAAGCCCCGGCUAACUACGUGCCAGCAGCCGCGGUAAUACGUAGGGGGCAAGCGUUAUCCGGAUUUACUGGGUGUAAAGGGAGCGCAGGCGGUGCGGCAAGUCUGAUGUGAAAGCCCGGGGCUCAACCCCGGGACUGCAUUGGAAACUACCGAACUAGAGUGUCGGAGAGG
rnacentral:rRNA from 1 species